rnacentral:rRNA from 1 species
CAAUAGCGUAUACUAACGUUGUUGCAGUUAAAAGGCUCGUAGUCGAAUAUAUGUAUCUUUGUUGCACCUGAUCCAAUCUCUUAGUAGAUUGCGUUUAUCAGUGUGCACGGAUCAUUUUCUUUCUGAAGAUUUUCAUUCAUCCUUGAUUGGAUUGUAAUGUUGUAAAAAUUCAGAUCCUUUACUGUGAGUAAAUCAGAGUGCUCAAAGCAGGCUUCAAUGCUUGUAUGGUUCAGCAUGGAAUAAUAAGAUAAGACUUUGGUUUUGUUUUGUUGGCUAUACGAACCAAAGUAAUGAUUGAAAGGGAUAGUUGGGGGUGCUAGUAUUCAAUGGUCAGCGGUGAAAUGCAAAGACCCAUUGAAGACUAACUUAUGCGAAAGCAUUCACCAAGGAUAUCUUUUUUGA